UACGUAGGUGGCAAGCGUUGUCCGGAUUUAUUGGGUUUAAAGGGUGCGUAGGCGGUCUAUUAAGUCAGUUGUGAAAUACGGCAGCUCAACUGUCGAGGUGCAAUUGAUACUGAUGGACUUGAGUACUGAUGAGGUAAGCGGAAUGGACGGUGUAGCGGUGAAAUGCUUAGAUAUGACACAGAACACCGAUUGCGAAGGCAGCUGGCUACACAAAUAUUGACACUGAGGCACGAAAGCGUGGGGAUCAAACAGG
rnacentral:rRNA from 1 species